AUUGCAGAGUUUGGAGAAAAUGAAAGACAAAGUGCGAGAUUGGUUACAUUACGCUCAGAUUAAAGAAGUUUUUAAAAAUGAUAAGAAACUAGGGUUCCAGGUGGAGAAAUCGAAAUUAGAAACAGAAUUGUUAGAACCAAAGACUAAGGUACUUUCAAGGAUGUAUAACUUGCUGUUGGAAUGGAAUACACAAGAUGAAAUGGUUAAAUCGGCUAUGAUAAGGUGGGCACAGGACAUUGGGUAUAAUAUUAUGUUUGAGGACUGGGAAAAGUUGUGGAGUAAUGGAUUGAAAUUUACUGCAUGUAACGCUCUGAAAGAAAAUGUAAUGAAAAUGAUUUAUAGAUGGUAUAUGACCCCAGUUAAACUUGCAAAAAUUUACCACCUGUCUGAUAAUAAGUGUUGGAAAUGUAAAGAGUGUGAGGGAACGUUCUUCCACCUCUGGUGGACCUGCCCUAAAGUGAAGGCGUUCUGGGAAAUGAUUUAUAAUGAAUUGAAAAAGGUAUUUAAAUAUACCUUUACCAAGAAACCAGAGGCUUUCCUUCUGGGUAUUGUCAGCCAAGGGGUGGCAAAGAAGGACCAGACAUUUUUUAUGUAUGCAACAACAGCAGCAAGGAUACUUCUUGCAAAACAUUGGAAAACUCAAGAUUUACCCACACUGGAAGAAUGGCAGAUGCAACUGAUAGACUACAUGGAACUGGCUGAAAUGACUGGCAGAAUCCGUGACCUGGG